rnacentral:rRNA from 1 species
AUCGCCCGGGAACUACGAGCAAAGCUUAAAACCCAAAGGACUUGACGGUACCCCACAUCCACCUAGAGGAGCCUGUCCUAUAAUCGAUAACCCCCGCUUAACCUCACCAUUUUUAGCCUAUCAGCCUGUAUACCUCCGUCGCCAGCUUACCACGUGAGCGACCCUCAGUGAGCUUAAUGUUUAUACACCAACACGUCAGGUCAAGGUGCAGCAGAUAAAAUGGGAAGAGAUGGGCUACACUCUCUAUUCUAGAAAAUACGGAAGACUAUUUAUGAAACCUAGUCAGAAGGCGGAUUUAGUAGUAAAAAGAGACAAGAGUGCUCUUUUUAACAUGGCACUGGGGUGUGUACACACCGCCCGUCACCCUCUUCAAAGCUAAUAUAAAGUCCCUAACACACCUAAGCACUACAGAAGAGGCAAGUCGUAACAUGGUAAGUAUACCGGAAGGUGUGCUUGGAAA